rnacentral:misc_RNA from 1 species
GGAAGGAUCAUUCACACAUUGGUUAUCUGAUGCUUCUACCAUGAACUCGUGUCUCGCUUAGUGCAAGGAGCGAUGCUCAUUGCACGCCCCUGGUUGAUUCUGUAUCGAACCAGGUGGUUUGAGUGGGACGAUGCCUCAAUAUACACGGACUUGAAUUUAGAACAUAAUCAAACUUUCAGCAAUGGACGUCUUGGUUCCCAAAUCGAUGAAGGACGCAGCGAAUUGCGAUAAGCAGUGCGAAUUGCAGAAAUCUGUGAACCAUCAGACCUCUGAACGCAUAUGGCACUCAUGGGACUUUGUCUCAGAGUGUGCUUGGCUCAGUGUAUCCGAGCCUUCAAACAAACUUCUAGGGCUGACGUCGUGAAUCACAGUGCAAAUGUUCACUGCUUGCUCCGUCGUCAAAAAACUUAAACGUGUCGUACUCUGCAUUUGGGUUAGGCAAUCAGAUCACAAAUGCGCGGUUCACACAGUUUGAUGUUAAUCAGUCUCUUUACUUACCUGAGCUCACGCAAGGCAACCCGCUGAAUUUAAGCAUAUAAUUAAGCGGAGGAAAAGAAACUAAGCAGGAUUCUCUUAGUAGUGGCGAAUGAACAGGGAGCAGCCCAAAAUGAAAAUCACGUGCUUGCUGUGCGCGAGUUGUAGUCUGAAGAAGUGUUACCAGUGGGCGUCGCAGAGAAAAGUCUCUUGGAAGAGAACGCCGGAGAGGGUGAGAGUCCCGUCAUGGCUCUGCAGUGCGUCUACAAACGGAUCACUUUCUUAGAGUCGCGUUUCUUGGGAGUGAAACGCAAAGCGGGUGGUAGACUUCAUCUAAGGCUAAAUAGCAAAUGGGAAACCGAUAGCAAAUAAGUACCUUGAGGGAAAGAUGAAAAGGACUUUGAAAAGAGAGUUAAAAUUCCCCGAAAUUGCUGAGAAGUAAGCGGUUGAAAUGCGAGUACAGCCUUGGAAAUAGGUCGCUGGCACGUAUCCUUGUUGGUGCGGUUACAUAACUGGAGCGCACGUGCAAGUUAUACAAAAGGCGACGGAUUUCCAGGAGGAAUCAGCUGCGGUUGGUACUGUUGCGUGAGUCCGGGAUCAAUGUAUUCUUCGGAAUCAUUGCAGCUUGUGACUCUGGGCGGACGGUGUCUGACCGAGGAAGGCGCAUUUAUGUGCUGAGUAGCUGAUGAGAAAAUUUCCACCGGCCCGUCUUGAAACACGGAUCAAGGAGUCCAACAGCUAUGCGUGUCUGCGGGAAGCCAAUCCUGCGGGCGCAAUGAAAGUGAACGGUUCCGUCCAGGAACGACCGACCACAAUCGCCGAGAGAGGUUUGAGUACGAGCAUAUCUGUUGGGACCCGAAAGAUGGUGAACUAUUCCUGAAUAGGGUGAAGCCAGGGGAAACCCUGGUGGAGGCUCGUAGCGAUACUGACGUGCAAAUCGUUCGUCAAAUUUGGGUAUAGGGGCGAAAGACUAAUCGAACCAUCUAGUAGCUGGUUCCCUC